GAUUAACGCUGGCGGCGUGCAUAACACAUUCAAGUCGAACGGAAUACGGACUUCGGUCUGUGUUUAGUGGCGGACGGGUGAGUAACGCGUGAGUAAUCUGCCUCUGUGUGCGGGAUAACAGCCGGAAACAGCUGCUAAUACCGCAUAACGUAUCGGGACUGCAUGGUCCUGAUACCAAAGGCUUGCUGCACAGAGAUGAACUUGCGUCUGAUUAGAUAGUUGGUGAGGUAACGGCUCACCAAGUCGACGAUCAGUAGCCGAACUGAGAGGUUGAUCGGCCACAUUGGGACUGAGACACGGCCCAGACUCCUACGGGAGGCAGCAGUGGGGGAUAUUGCGCAAUGGGGGCAACCCUGACGCAGCAACGCCGCGUGAAGGAAGAAGGUUUUCGGAUCGUAAACUUCUUUAAGUGGGGAAGAUAAUGACGGUACCACAGAAUAAGCCACGGCUAACUACGUG
rnacentral:rRNA from 1 species